CUCCAUUUCUAAUGUUUAUUUAGGGCAUCUAUAGUUAUAGUACUGACUCUUUGUGUCAUCUAGAGUCAACAAUAAAAUAAAACAUACAAUGAGUUGUGUCUUUAAAUUAACUCUACAUAAUUUGAUAACACAUUAAAUCUGAUGGUGUAUAAUGGUUACAAGGUUGGCUCUUAGCUGACUUUUGAUCGACACAAAAAGUAAAUUAUUUUUCUCUUUUGCAUUUCUAUCUCCUCCGCAUCAAAAAUUAUAUGGUAUCGUGUCCUACCUGGGUUGCUAAAAUUUAGUAAAAACAAGGGUAUUUUUUAGUGAAACUAUAACACAACAUAAAUGAAAUGAAAUUUGAAACUAUAAUAAAAUAUAUAAAAAAAUCGUAGUGAAACUGGAAUAACAUAGUAACAAAAGAAAAAAAAAUCAUUUUUUUACAAACACAGUACAAACACAGACACUCACAACACUGCUCGGGAAAAGGUUAACAGCGGCGGUCUGAAUUACACACCGGUGGCGGUAACGCGGAUCGCCACUAAGCCUGCGCCACUGGUGCUAACGAGCACCGGUAGCAGGUAUUAUCGCCGUCGCUGGUGCUAACCAGCACCAGUGGCGGUUCGCAAAACCAUCACUGGUAACCCGUAGGGAGCUUCAGAAAGUGCACCGG
rnacentral:lncRNA from 1 species